rnacentral:rRNA from 1 species
GACAGAGGAUGCAAGCGUUAUCCGGAAUGAUUGGGCGUAAAGCGUCUGUAGGUGGCUUUUUAAGUCUGCCGUCAAAUCCCAGGGCUUAACCCUGGACAGGCGGUGGAAACUACCAAGUUGGAGUACGGUAGGGGCAGGGGGAAUUUCCGGUGGAGCGGUGAAAUGCGUAGAGAUCGGAAAGAACACCAACGGCGAAAGCACUCUGCUGGGCCGACACUGACACUGAGAGACGAAAGCUAGGGUAGCGAACGGG